rnacentral:rRNA from 1 species
CCUACGGGCGGCAGCAGUGGGGAAUAUUGGACAAUGGGCGAAAGCCUGAUCCAGCCAUGCCGCGUGUGUGAAGAAGGCCUUCGGGUUGUAAAGCACUUUCAGUGGGGAAGAAAGCCUUGGGGCUAAUACCCUCGAGGAAGGACAUCACCCACAGAAGAAGCACCGGCUAACUCCGUGCCAGCAGCCGCGGUAAUACGGAGGGUGCGAGCGUUAAUCGGAAUUACUGGGCGUAAAGCGCGCGUAGGCGGUCUGAUAAGUCGGUUGUGAAAGCCCCGGGCUCAACCUGGGAACGGCAUCCGGAACUGUCAGGCUAGAGUGCAGGAGAGGAAGGUAGAAUUCCCGGUGUAGCGGUGAAAUGCGUAGAGAUCGGGAGGAAUACCAGUGGCGAAGGCGGCCUUCUGGACUGACACUGACGCUGAGGUGCGAAAGCGUGGGUAGCAAACAGGAUUAGAUACCCUAGUAGUC